AACGAACGCUGGCGGCAUGCCUAACACAUGCAAGUCGAACGAGAACUUCGGGUCUAGUGGCCCACGGGUUCGGAACCCGUGGGAAUCUACCCUCAGGUGCGACAUACCUCAGAGAAAUUUGAGCUAAUACCGGAUGAUUACGUAAUUCCCAAGAUUUCUUGCCUGAGGAUGAGCCCGCUUAGGAUUAGGUAGUUGGUGAGGUAAAGGUUCACCAAGCCGGGGAUACUUAGCUGGUCUGAGAGCAGCACCAGACAGACUGGGACUGAAACACAGCGCGGACUUCCACGGGAGGAAGAAGAUGGGAAUAUGGGACGAUGGGCGAAAGCGUGAUACAGUCAAGCCGAGUGAGUGAGGAAGGAAAUAGGGUUGUAAAACCCAUUGAAACGGGAGGAUAAUGACAGUACCGGGAGAAAAAGCCCCGGCUAACUCCGUG
rnacentral:rRNA from 1 species